AUGUAAGUGUGUAAGAGCACACGGUGGAUGCCUUGGCACCAAGAGCCGAUGAAGGACGUAGUAGGCUGCGAUAAGCCUCGGGGAGCUGCCAAACGAGCUGUGAUCCGAGGGUGUCCGAAUGGGGAAACCCAGCACGCGUGAUGGCGUGUUACCCGCAUCUGAAUACAUAGGGUGUGU
rnacentral:rRNA from 1 species